rnacentral:rRNA from 1 species
UAUAAGGGGAACCAAUUACCAUGCAAGUCGAACGAUGAAGCCCUUCGGGGUGGAUUAGUGGCGAACGGGUGAGUAACACGUGGGCAAUCUGCCCUGCACUCUGGGACAAGCCCUGGAAACGGGGUCUAAUACCGGAUAUGAGUCUCCUGGGCAUCUGGGAGGCUGGAAAGCUCCGGCGGUGCAGGAUGAGCCCGCGGCCUAUCAGCUUGUUGGUGAGGUAACGGCUCACCAAGGCGACGACGGGUAGCCGGCCUGAGAGGGCGACCGGCCACACUGGGACUGAGACACGGCCCAGACUCCUACGGGAGGCAGCAGUGGGGAAUAUUGCACAAUGGGCGCAAGCCUGAUGCAGCGACGCCGCGUGAGGGAUGACGGCCUUCGGGUUGUAAACCUCUUUCAGCAGGGAAGAAGCGCAAGUGACGGUACCUGCAGAAGAAGCGCCGGCUAACUACGUGCCAGCAGCCGCGGUAAUACGUAGGGCGCAAGCGUUGUCCGGAAUUAUUGGGCGUAAAGAGCUCGUAGGCGGCUUGUCGCGUCGGUUGUGAAAGCCCGGGGCUUAACCCCGGGUCUGCAGUCGAUACGGGCAGGCUAGAGUUCGGUAGGGGAGAUCGGAAUUCCUGGUGUAGCGGUGAAAUGCGCAGAUAUCAGGAGGAACACCGGUGGCGAAGGCGGAUCUCUGGGCCGAUACUGACGCUGAGGAGCGAAAGCGUGGGGAGCGAACAGGAUUAGAUACCCUGGUAGUCCACGCCGUAAACGGUGGGCACUAGGUGUGGGCCACAUUCCACGUGGUCCGUGCCGCAGCUAACGCAUUAAGUGCCCCGCCUGGGGAGUACGGCCGCAAGGCUAAUACUCAAAGGAAUUGACGGGGGCCCGCACAAGCGGCGGAGCAUGUGGCUUAAUUCGACGCAACGCGAAGAACCUUACAGAGGCUUGACUUACACCGGAAACAUCCAGAGAUGGGUGCCCCCUUGUGGUCGGUGUACAGGUGGUGCAUGGCUGUCGUCAGCUCGUGUCCUGAGAUGUUGGGGUUAAUUCCCGCAACANANUGCAACCCUUGUUCC